ACAACAAUCGGACCGUCGGUCUACCGAGUUAUGUCACAAACUUGGUGGAAGAUCUUCCCUUCGUCGU
rnacentral:pre_miRNA from 1 species